AAGACCGUGGCUUAUCUGGUUGGCCGGGAAAAGCUAUCGCUUCCCCAAUUCAUUCGCGUGAGUGCGGGCUGGGUGGAGUCAAUGCUCGUUCUUUUGCGUGCCACACCGUCGGAGAGCGGCCUUCGUUGCCUAGCCAUCUUCUCGAGCAUCUCCCCACGCCUUUGCCACCGACUACUGCACAUGAAAGCAAGUGGUGAUGAGUACAGAGCUCCAAAGCAG
rnacentral:misc_RNA from 1 species